rnacentral:lncRNA from 1 species
CCAGAAUUCAUAAAUGUUGGAGAAUGGUUUAACCAUAAUUUUCCACAAUAAUCAUUUCUUAUUACUAGAAACAUUCUAAAAUCCCUUGACUACAAACAGUUCAUAAGCAAGCACAACAAACAUUGCAACACAAUACUUUAUUCAACUAAAUUUAUGUAAUCAUAAUUAAAAACAUAAGACUUGCUGCCUCUUUAAUCUACUGAGUUCUAGCCCCAAACUUGCAAUUAGAUGAGUUCAAUUCGACUGCCUCUUACUCCAAUCCCUCUUCUAAUUUGGUUAUAGACUUGAUUCUCAAAGAAUUCGGCUAUAUCCUUAACAAUAACUUGAUGGAUUAUUAUGCUUUAGUAAUAUGGAGAUGUGAAGACCCAAGUAGCUAAAGAGAGAUGAAAAACGAAAAUGAAGAGGAAUAAGAAUAUUCAGGAUAGUUUUGUUUUGAUUACUUAGCUCUCCUUAGCUUUACCAUUACAUGCUUAGUGUCCCACUAGUCUUAACAAGCUUCCAGCUC